UCACUGAACUUUGUGGUCACUCCCACAAACGAAUUCGUGUUUUCUUACUAACUUCCCAGCAGUUUUCAUACCAAACGUUACACAUCGUAGAAGUGGAAAAUACAGUCAAAUCUGAUUGAAGAGUUCAUAACUUUUUGAACCAUAUCUUUCUGUGCGCUUGUUCUACAUUCCAACUGCGAGUGAAAGUUACGCAAGACCCAACAUGGACGAGGCAGAGAAGUACCAGCAGAGAGUGCAGGCUAUAGAGGACAAGCGACGUAAGCAGCAGGACGACGAGAAAGCAAGGAGGGAGAUAGAGGAGGAGUGGCUGACGCAGGCCCAGCGCAAGCGGAAGUCCUUGAGGGACCAGUGGCUGAGCGAGAACCCCCAGCCUGUCCCUGGGCGCAGCGCUCACAGA